UUUGUUCUAGAGUUUGCGAUAUACAACUUCACAAAUAUUAAACUGCCUGAUUGCCAGAGAGUUCCACUUUCUGCUACUCCAUGUUAAAGCUAUUACAGUCUCUGCCUCAGGGAGGGUAGCCUGCUGUAGGAUUGAUUACUGCCCCUAAGGAAAAGG